GUGAAAACCCUAGAACUCAAAAAAUCUUGCAAAUUGAAGGUUCAAUUCAAGUCCAAAUCGAAUUCUAAACAUAGAUUCCUGAUCCUCAUCACAAGGGGAUUACAAGUUUGACGCGUAACAAGCUAGGUGGAAGCUUGAUGAGGGAGCAGGUCAAACGAAUCAAGAAGGAAAGGAAAAAGCAUAGUUCGGACACGAGAUGCAUGAUUUUAGGAAAUAAAUAGCACAUGGAUGCUUACAUCGCUAUCGCUUAGCAGCCACUAAGGAAAUGUAUUGAAACAGGUCAAUAUAUUGAUCCGAGCCAGGUAUGUAUAAUAAUACAACUCAUCAUGUAGAGCUUGGAGUUUUAUAAUAGUUAGACGAGGUUAAAAUAAGAUAUCCGGUUAUCUUUUAGGUAAACCGAAUAAGUUGAGUUAUGAUUAAGGUGUUUUAGAAACAUAUUGGUUUCUAAACAAGAAUAUGGUUAAAAGGUCGGAUUUGGGGUUCAAACAAGCACUAAUAGUCCUUCGUCGUAAAAGAAU